AACGAACGCUGGCGGCAUGCCUAACACAUGCAAGUCGAACGAUACCUUCGGGUCUAGUGGCGCACGGGUGCGUAACGCGUGGGAACCUUCCCUUAUGUUCGGAAUAACUCCCCGCAAGGGGUGCCAAUACCGGAUAAUGUCUUCUGCCCAAAGAUUUAUCGCCUCUGGAUGGGCGCGCGUGGGAUUAGCUAGUUGGUAGGGUAAAAGCCUACCAAGGGUACGAUCCAUAGCUGGUCUGGGAGCAUGGCCAGCCACACUGGGACUGGGACACGGCGCGGACCCCUACGAAAGGGAGCAGUGGGGAAUGUGGAACGCCGGGCGAGAGACUGAGGCAUCCAGGCCGUGUGAGUGAGGAAGGCCUUAAGGUCGGAAAGCUCUUUUACACGGGAUGAUAAUGACGGUACCGGACGAAAAAGCUCCGGCUAACUACGUG
rnacentral:rRNA from 1 species